CUCCCCCGCCAGCUCCUUUCUGCGAGCGAGACCAUUCCGGCCAUCCUCCUGCUCCCUUCCGGGGAUUCCUGGAAGGCAGCGGAUCCAGAGGGUUGCUCCCCUCCCUCCCCGGUGUUGUUCCCCUCCCAGAAUCCAGAACCCCAGACUCAGGAAAGAACGGCCCCUGCUGUCCCUUCCUCGCUUUCGGUCCCAAUCACGUUGUCAAGCUUUUGUGUGAACCGACCCAGCUGUAACCCUUCCCCACUCGGCCUACCAUGAGGCAGAGUCCCUGAGAGGUGCUGCAGCCUCGCUGCCCUCCGUCCUCCUACCCACCUGGAGGCAGGGUGGACCCCAGGACAUAGGUGCCCCCUUUCCGCAUGGAAAAGGCCAGCAUCACCCUGCUCCCAAAAGCAGAGUCACAGAAAGGUCUGGUGGAACCUGCCGCUGCCCAGCAACGUCAGGACGACCGAGUCGGCAGGAAUUGGGUGGUGUUACGGUGUUACAACUGAGCACCCUUGCAGCAGGUGUGUACCUGUCUAUAAAGGGCUCCCCGGGAACGUAAUGGUGAGCAACCACCAAGAGCUGGAUCCUGUAACCCAUGAGCUGUCUUGCCAGGAUUCCAGAUGUGGCCCAGAUGUCCACAGCAGUCCCUCCCACAGGGUGGGACACAGCUAUUCUAUGCAGCCCCUCCCAACCCUUCUCCCAAGGUCAGGGAAGGAAAGCCGGCCACCUCCAGGGCACCCUCCUCAUUCAAGAUGCAGAAAGAAGAGAUGAUGGCUCCCCUCAAGUUCUUCUUCCUGCCCGAAGCCACCUGGGUUCAUUCUGUGGUCUAACUGCUAGCCCUCUACUGACAGGUUAAGUCUAGAUCCCCAGAAAGAAAGGCAAACUUCCCAGGGCCCAUUCAUCUCUCUCUAGAGAGAGAGAGAGAGAGAGAGAGAGAGAGAGAGAGAGAGACUGGACUUACUCGCCCUACACAAGGAAGGAUUCUCGUCCAUCUCCCUAGUGGCCUCGGUCCUUGGGCAGCGCCCUCUGCUGGCCAGUGCAAAGUGCGGGAAAGAACAAAGUCCUGCACAUGUACGCAAGGAAGAUCUAGGGAAGGGGACAAGGGGCAGAGAAACAAGUGAGGACUUUAAGCUCCCCUAUCAAAGCCCAUGCAUACAUUAAGACGAGCCCCUAGACGUGGGAAAAUCAUGACCAGCUUUACUUGGGGCUGGGGGGUAAGUAAGCUAGCAAACAGGGCUUUUGACAUCCCAGAAAUGGCACUCCCUGCCCUGAAUGGCUCACUUGCCCUCUGUCCCUGAAACCCUUGUGCCUGCCAGACGGCCUUCCCUGCCACCUCCUACCAGGACAACAUGCUGGAAGGCCAGGUCUGGUACCCUGAACCCAGGAGCUUAAAGAGAGGGCACCCCAAGACUUAAGCGUGCAACUGGCAGUAGCUGUCUCUCGCACUUCACACACACAAGAGCGCUAAGCCCAGACCCCAGCGAUGGCAGGACUCAAAGUAGAAUUAGGCCCUGAGUCACAGCCUGGCAUGAGCGUGCCUGACCAAGACUGGCCAGCUUGUCCAGAGAACCUUCAGCCAGGUCUUACCUCCAGAGGUCGUCUCCAUUCCUGACCUUCACAGGCCCAUUAGGGCCUGCGGCCCGGGCCAGACUUGUACUCCACAGCCUGCAAAGCCAGAGGGCCAGGCUGUCUGCACCACUCCCCAUGAAGCACAUGACACCGCGGCUGCCUUUUGUGGUGCCCUCCCCGCCUCACUUAACCGAUUCACUGAUCCACCUAAGUGGCCAGGUCCCCUACCAGCCAGCCUGGGAGGACUCCCGGGGGCGGGGUUGAAGCCCAGGAGGAACAGAGAGCUAGGCGCUUUAAUUGGAGGUAAUUAGUUAAUCUACUCUGAAAGCAGAGGGGGAGGGGAGAGGCUUUGGGAAAAGAGGGCUCCGUACAGGCAAUCUGGUGAGUCUCUUUUGGGGCACGUGCACCCACUUAAGAGGCCUCUCUUCAGCCCCAGAACAGACCGUGGGGCAGCUUUGCACGCAAAAAAAGCAGGUGCCCGGGGGGUGGAGGGUAAGCUAGGAGAACACCACGGGAAGCCAGGACGAUGCAGGGGCUCUACGACAGAAACUAGUCCCUCUCUGUCACCUUUGCUUCCGGCCUCCCAAGGUCACACACAUACAGCCCUCCAAGUUAGGAGCCAGUGCUCUCCCAAC